CCUACGGGAUGCUGCAGUGGGGAAUAUUGGACAAUGGGCGAAAGCCUGAUCCAGCCAUGCCGCGUGUGUGAAGAAGGCCUUCGGGUUGUAAAGCACUUUCAGUGGGGAAGAAAGCCUUGGGGCUAAUACCCUCGAGGAAGGACAUCACCCACAGAAGAAGCACCGGCUAACUCCGUGCCAGCAGCCGCGGUAAUACGGAGGGUGCGAGCGUUAAUCGGAAUUACUGGGCGUAAAGCGCGCGUAGGCGGUCUGAUAAGCCGGUUGUGAAAGCCCCGGGCUCAACCUGGGAACGGCAUCCGGAACUGUCAGGCUAGAGUGCAGGAGAGGAAGGUAGAAUUCCCGGUGUAGCGGUGAAAUGCGUAGAGAUCGGGAGGAAUACCAGUGGCGAAGGCGGCCUUCUGGACUGACACUGACGCUGAGGUGCGAAAGCGUGGGUAGCAAACAGGAUUAGAUACCCUUGUAGUC
rnacentral:rRNA from 1 species